rnacentral:siRNA from 1 species
AUGCAAUUGUGGCCUUAUGUGG